ACAACCGCGCGUUAUCCCCACGCGUGAUCACUGCCGUGAUUAACUCCAUCUCUCCCGAUGAUUUUCAAUCCCGCAAUUAUCUCCAGCAACCAACAUUGCCUUCUCCCUCAACGAGAGCCCCUGCCUUCUCCCUCAACACCUCCUCUCCCUUGUUCUCUUCUCUGCACAUCGAAGCAAAACCUAAGCAGGAGAGCAAUUCACUCAGGCUCGCAUGCCUAACCUCCCGGACUUCGCGGCGGCCAGGCAGCCGGCGGCAUGCUCCGCGCGGAGGAGGGGGAGGGUCGUCGCGGCGGCGGUCCGGGGUCGCGUGAAGCAGGAGGAAGCGGGGAAGGGGAAGGUGCGGUUGAUCAGGGUCGCUGACCCCGAUGGGGGAGGGGAGGCUGCCGCCGCUCUUCUACGCGGACGAGGAGGAGAGGCUAUAGAAUUUCCGUACCUUUACUCCCCUUGAUUUCAGAAUGCUGCUGGAAGGAAAGGAGCAGAGGUUCUACAGGCACAAGGCAAGAAAAAAAAAUAUUACUACAUUGUUUGUCGUAGAGUGUCUUGCCUAGCUAUGUUCCUGUGUUCAUGAUGUUCUUAAAGCUCAUAUAACUUUUAUGGCUUUGAACUACAGCCAUUUGAACGAAACCUAUGCAAGUCUAACCGAUUCAUUCUGUCCCUGAUGAGUUCUCGUAUAUUUGUCACUGAUAUUGAUAACUGGUGAAGGUUUGUAUUAGAUGACGAGUGAUCUGACGUGAAGGAACAGAAAGGCCAAAAGGUAUACUAAAUCAAUUGUUUGUAUGAUUCGUUUCUCUUCUUCCCACCAGGUCCCAGCAUAUGUUUGCUAUUUUCAGAAAUAAAUAAAUACUUUGAGCGAUCUUUGUAAAACCGUUGUCUUGCUCCUGACUGUUCUAUAGACAACACAAAUGUUAACUUCAAGGUACUCCCCGUAGAGUUCAUACUUCAAGGUGUAAAUAAUUUCAUUUGUCACA